ACAGUCUAACCAGGCUGCUGGAGUCCAGUCGUCACUCUCCACGCCUCUUUUCCCCUCCUCAUCCCUUUGUUCUGCCACCAUUGUCUUCCUUUUGACUCGAUUCCAAGACAGAGACGACCUGAUCCGGUAGGCUUGUGGCGAUAGAGGUGGCAGGGGAAGCCGACGGAGGGAAUGUAAGCAGAGAUACCAAUCAUCAAAAUUCAGAGAGCAACAACAUCAACGAAGACCUGGACCAAACUUUUCAUGGCAAUGUUUCUGAAGUUCAGUCCUCUAACAUUGAUUUAACAAAAACAGAUGCAUCAGAUGGCAUGUUGCUUGAUGGUAUCAGAAAAAUGCUGCAAAAGAGUGAUGAAAGGAAACAAAGGAGAAUGUUUUGAAGGAGCAAAGCAGGAAGAGGUCAAGGGCUCAGAUGGGAACAACCCCAGAAUGUUUGCAUAAAGGAAGAGCAAGAAAAAGAACGCCCACUUUUCCCUAUCUUUUUUUGGCAAGCUUGUUUGACAAGAAAAGUGCCCAGACCUGGACUGGCACAAGGCCAACAUCUGUUCCCAAUCCUUUUCUUUACAACAAACAAACAACUAUCCCCGCGAAAAAAAAACAACUAAGCCCACAAACACAACGCCCAGGCCCAGGAAAGUGGGGCGUGGGGGAGGGUCACGGGUGCAGCCCAGACUUGGAAGCGACAAACAAAAUGACGAGGCCCAGAGGAAGCGCAGGGUGACAAACAAUCGACGAGAGAACAAACAGAACGAUCGGGAGCACAACAGGGAGUGACGUCAUCUUAUAUGUUUGAUAAUUAUGUCACAUCUAAAUAUGUCUUACACAUACCCAUUAAAAAAAGCCUGAGCCUACCCCGAUCCUCUCUCCUUCCCACCUCCCCCGACCGAUGCGCACCACCCGCCCCAGAUCCACUCGCCGCCCCCAUGCCGCCUGACCCCCGCCCCAACAGUGCCGCCGGCCCCGCGCCGCCCGCACCCCGUCCCAACUGACGCCGCCGCCACCGUGCCGCCCACACCCCGCGCGGCCCCAACAUCAUUCCCCGCCACCACCCACCACCUUCCUCCUGCCGCCACACCAGGCCCCCACAAUCGCCCCACCUUCUUCUAACCGCCGCCAUGGAACACCACCUCUGCCCCGAUCCACCUUGGUCCUGUGCGCCGCCGCCGGCCGUGGAUACCGAGCGACGCCUCCUGUCUUUAGAUGGCACCCGCCGUCGCCGGGGUCCCCGACUGAAGACGAGCAAGCCGUGAAUCCCAGGCGCUGCCGCCUCCCUCUGAUCCCACCGGCCAUCGCCGGGGUCCCCGACUGAAGGUGAGCAACCUCGCUGCCCACCUCCUCACGGAGCCUCCUCCCUUGUGGGGACACACCCAUCGGCGUGGUGCUCAGGCCGUUCGCCACGACCAGCUCCGGCCGUUCAACCACACGGAGCUCUCGGAUGUUCACCGCUUUAGCGCCCAAAGCCCAGCCAUCCAGGGAUAUCAGCCAAACUCCACACCUCGCCGCCCCCUGCAUCACCUCCUCUGCCCUGAAGAACUGCCCCGUCCUCCCUCCUGCUCACAGCCGUGCGCUCGGCCGCCAGACUGCACCCAGUCGCCAACACGAACUGCUCCGACUACUUCAGCUCCGGAAAAUUGCCUCUACGGGCUCCGCCUAGCGAGUGUUGAUUUUGGAACGCUUGAUCAAACCACCACGGAGCAACGGGUAUGUGCAAAGUUAAGCCUUAACCAAGCAGCCAAGUAGCUUAAUCGAUUUCUUGGCUAGCUAGCAGUGCGCGCAUGUGAUACUGUUCAUCAAUCAAGUUGCUUGCAUGUGUGCUAGUUUCAGGCUAUUUUUUGCUUGAUUCAGAGAAGACACCACAACCUCAUCCACAAGUUCCAAUAGCUCAAGCUUUUAAGAAAAUACACUUGACACAGCUUUAUUGGUACAAUUGUGAUAGUUUCUGAAGUAAUUUUACCACUUCUAUAGCUUUGCUAUUUUUGGAAAUGUUUUGUUUUGCAUAACAAUUGCUUUGGCAUUAGUAAGAAGAAGUUUUCUCUGAUGGCAAGGGGUCAUGCAGGCUGUUUUGUUACUGGCAAGGAACCAUGCAGGGAUCUGUCCAUCCAUCGAACCGCAACCGCGCCUGGUCUGGUCGCCGUCAACACACGCCGCUGCGACGUGUCAUGCCACCACGCACCGCCAUGGCCUACUGUUGCCAGGACCGCACGCCGUAGUCCCUAGCUGGGGCAAAAAAAUGUUCUGCAAAAUAACGCAUGGAUGAAUGAGAGAAGUUCCGCUAUAACCGGAGUAGUAUUCUUCAGAGCUCAGAUAACUAAAUGUUCGGGCACUGAGACUUGAUGGCCUCAAUCUUGUAAAACGCUAUUCAGAAGUUCAAGGAGGACCCAAAGACAAAUAAAAGAGCAUCAUGUCCUGGGGUGUGCAUGCUGGGUCUGGUGUUUAGUGUGUGUGUGUGCGCGCGCGCGCGAGCUCACUGUGUGGGAGCUUGUGUUUUGUGCUCCUUUCCGGUCUGCAUGAGGAAGUUCAGCCUUAUCCUUUUUAAAGGUUCAGUGUGUAUGUAUGGGAAUGCAUAUGAGGCAUUGUGUUUGCAUGAA